rnacentral:rRNA from 1 species
UACAGAGGGGGCCAGCGUUAUUCGGAAUUAUUGGGCGUAAAGGGCGCGUAGGCGGCCUGGCAAGUGGAAGGUGAAAUCCCUCGGCUUAACCGAGGAACUGCCUCCCAAACUGCUUGGCUUGAGACCGGGAGAGGUGAGUGGAAUUCCCAGUGUAGCGGUGAAAUGCGUAGAUAUUGGGAGGAACACCAGUGGCGAAGGCGGCUCACUGGACCGGUACUGACGCUGAUGCGCGAAAGCGUGGGGAGCAAACGGG